rnacentral:tRNA from 1 species
AUUUUUUUAGUAUAAUAAAGUACAGUUAACUUCCAAUUAACAAGUUUGAAUUUUCAAGAAAAAUA